rnacentral:rRNA from 1 species
AUUGAACGCUGGCGGAAUGCUUUACACAUGCAAGUCGAACGGCAGCACGGACUUCGGUCUGGUGGCGAGUGGCGAACGGGUGAGUAACAUAUCGGAACGUAUCCAAUAAUGGGGGAUAACUAAUCGAAAGGUUGGCUAAUACCGCAUACGCCCUACGGGGGAAAGCUAGGGACCUUCGGGCCUGGCGUUAAUGGAGCGGCCGAUAUCUGAUUAGGCUAGUUGGUAGGGUAAAGGCCCACCAAGGCGAGGAUCAGUAGCUGGUCUGAGAGGACGCCCAACAAAACUGGAACUGGGACACGGUCCAGACUCCGACGGGAGGCAGCAGUGGGGAAGUUUGGACAAUGGGCGCAUGCCUGAUCCAGCCAUUCCGCGUGAGUGAAGAAGGCCUUCGGGUUGUAAAGCUCUUUCGCAAGGGAAGAAAACUUACCCUCUAACAUAGGGUGAGGUUGACGGUACCUUGAUAAGAAGCACCGGCUAACUACGUGCCAGCCGCCGCCGUAAGAC